UACGUAGGCAGCGAGCGUUGUUCGGAGUUACUGGGCGUAAAGGGUGUGUAGGCGGUUGUUUUAAGUUUGGUGUGAAAUCUCCCGGCUCAACUGGGAGGGUGCGCCGAAUACUGAAUGACUUGGAGUGCGGGGAGAGGAAAGUGGAAUUCCUGGUGUAGCGGUGAAAUGCGUAGAUAUCUGGAGGAACACCGGUGGCGAAGGCGGGUCUCUGGGCCGAUACUGACGCUGAGGCGCGAAAGCUAGGGGAGCAAACGGGG
rnacentral:rRNA from 1 species